GAUGAACGCUGGCGGCGUGCCUAAUACAUGCAAGUCGUGCGAACGGACUAGAAGCUUGCUUCUCUGAUGUUAGCGGCGGACGGGUGAGUAACACGUGGAUAACCUACCUAUAAGACUGGGAUAACUUCGGGAAACCGUAGCUAAUACCGGAUAAUAUUUUGAACCGCAUGGUUCAAAAGUGAAAGACGGUCUUGCUGUCACUUAUAGAUGGAUCCGCGCUGCAUUAGCUAGUUGGUAAGGUAACGGCUUACCAAGGCAACGAUGCAUAGCCGACCUGAGAGGGUGAUCGGCCACACUGGAACUGAGACACGGUCCAGACUCCUACGGGAGGCAGCAGUAGGGAAUCUUCCGCAAUGGGCGAAAGCCUGACGGAGCAACGCCGCGUGAGUGAUGAAGGUCUUCGGAUCGUAAAACUCUGUUAUUAGGGAAGAACAUAUGUGUAAGUAACUGUGCACAUCUUGACGGUACCUAAUCAGAAAGCCACGGCUAACUACGUG
rnacentral:rRNA from 1 species